CUGACCCUGCAUCAAGGCCAGCAGCUGCUGAUGCUGUUGGUUUCAAACAGGAGCCUAAAGAGAUGUCUUUCUAUGGUCUGUUGGCCAUUUCAGAAUUUGGAGUGAAAUGGUCAAUUCAUUAGAAAGAAACAGCU
ensembl:snoRNA small nucleolar RNA SNORA2/SNORA34 family